UACGGAGGGUGCAAGCGUUAUCCGGAUUCACUGGGUUUAAAGGGUGCGUAGGUGGGUUGGUAAGUCCGUGGUGAAAUCCCCAAGCUUAACUUGGGAACUGCCGUGGAUACUAUCAAUCUUGAAUAUCGUUGGGGUAAGCGGAAUAUGUCAUGUAGCGGUGAAAUGCUUAGAUAUGACAUAGAACACCGAUAGCGGAGGCAGCUUACUAAGCGAUCAUUGACACUGAGGCACGAAAGCGUGGGGAGCAAACAGG
rnacentral:rRNA from 1 species